GCUGUAGCUCAGUGGCAGAACAUCUGCUGUACAUUACAGAAGGUCCCAUAUUCAAUCCCUGGCAUCUCCA